CAGCCUUAUCACAUUGAAACAAUGGCUCUCAUGCAAUCACCGAAGUUAAGCAACGCCGAGCCUGGUCAGUACCUAGAUUGAUGACCACUUGGGAAUACCAGGUGCUAUA